rnacentral:rRNA from 1 species
GGUUAAGUUAGAAAGGGCGCACGGUGAAUGCCUUGGCACUAGGAGCCGAUGAAGGACGGGACUAACACCGAUAUGCUUUGGGGAGCUGUACGUAAGCUUUGAUCCAGAGAUUUCCGAAUGGG